GUCUCCAUCGUCUAGAGGCCUAGGACACCGGGUUUUCAUCCCGGCAACACGGGUUCGAAUCCCGUUGGAGAUGCCA
rnacentral:tRNA from 1 species